UACGUAGGGCGCAAGCGUUAUCCGGAAUUAUUGGGCGUAAAGAGCUCGUAGGCGGUUUGUCGCGUCUGCCGUGAAAGUCCGGGGCUCAACUCCGGAUCUGCGGUGGGUACGGGCAGACUAGAGUGAUGUAGGGGAGACUGGAAUUCCUGGUGUAGCGGUGAAAUGCGCAGAUAUCAGGAGGAACACCAGUGGCGAAGGCGGUUCUCUGGGCAUUACCUGACGCUGAGGAGCGAAAGUGUGGGGAGCGAACAGG
rnacentral:rRNA from 1 species